GUCUACGGCCAUGCCACCCUGAACGUGCCCAAUCUCAUCUGAUCUCGGAAGCUAACCAGGGUUGGGCCUGGUUAGUACUUGGAUGGGAGACCACCUAGGAAUACCAGGUGCUAUAGGCG
rnacentral:rRNA from 1 species